CAAUAGCGUAUAUUAAAGUUGUUGCGGUUAAAAAGCUCGUAGUUGGAUUUCUGCUGAGAACGACCGGUCCGCCCUUUGGGUGUGUAUCUGGCUCUUUCUUGGCAUCUUCUUGGUGAACGUUGCUGCACUUGACUGUGUGGAGCGCUACCCAGGACUUUUACUUUGAGGAAAUUAGAGUGUUUCAAGCAGGCAUACGCCUUGAAUACAUUAGCAUGGAAUAAUAAGAUAGGACCUCGGUUCUAUUUUGUUGGUUUCUAGAGCUGAGGUAAUGAUUAAUAGGGAUAGUUGGGGGCAUUCGUAUUUAACCGUCAGAGGUGAAAUUCUUGGAUUUGUUAAAGACGGACUACUGCGAAAGCAUCUGCCAUGGAUGUUUUCAUUGA
rnacentral:rRNA from 1 species